GUCCAGCUGACGAGUCCCACCUAGGACGAAACGCGUAUCAAACUGGAU
rfam:Schistosoma curassoni strain Dakar, Senegal genome assembly, scaffold: SCTD_scaffold0005453